rnacentral:rRNA from 1 species
GGUUAAGUUAACAAGGGCGCAUGGUGAAUGCCUUGGCACUAGGAGCCGAUGAAGGACGGGACUAACACCGAUAUGCUUCGGGGAGCUGUACGUAAGCUAUGAUCCGGAGAUUUCCGAAUGGGGCAACCCAGCAGUUUUAAUCAACUGUUACCACUAGAUGAAUUCAUAGUCUAGUUGGAGGUAAACGCUGUGAACUGAAACAUCUCAUUAGCAGCAGGAAUAUAAAGAAAUUUCGAUUCCCUAAGUAGCGGCGAGCGAACGGGGAACAGCCCAAACCAAAGUGCUUGCACUUUGGGGUUGUAGGACUGAACAUUUGAGUUACCAAAGAACUUGAUAGUCGAAGGAUUUGGGAAAAUCCGCCAUAGAUGGUGAUAGCCCAGUAGAUUAAAUCAAAUUCUCUCAGUUCAGGAUCCUGAGUACGGCGGAACACGUGAAAUUCCGUCGGAAUCCGGGAGGACCAUCUCCCAAGGCUAAAUACUACCUAGUGACCGAUAGUGAACCAGUACCGUGAGGGAAAGGUGAAAAGCACCCCGGGAGGGGAGUGAAAUAGUUCCUGAAACCAUGUGCCUACAAUAAGUCAGAGCGCGUUAAUGCGUGAUGGCGUGCCUUUUGUAGAAUGAACCGGCGAGUUAUGAUCCCGUGCAAGGUUAAGACUAAAAAGUCGGAGCCGUAGCGAAAGCGAGUCUGAAAUGGGCGAUUUGAGUACGAGGUUAUAGACCCGAAACCAGGUGAUCUAUCCAUGUCCAGGUUGAAGGUGCGGUAAAACGCACUGGAGGACCGAACCCGUGUAAGUUGAAAAUUGCUGGGAUGAGGUGUGGAUAGCGGUGAAAUUCCAAACGAACUUGGAGAUAGCUGGUUCUCUCCGAAAUAGCUUUAGGGCUAGCCUCGGAUUAAGGAUCAUGGAGGUAGAGCACUAUUUGGACUAGGGGCCCGUCUUGGGUUACUGAAUUCAGAUAAACUCCGAAUGCCAUUGAUUCAUGUCCGGGAGUCAGACGAUGAGUGAUAAGAUCCACCGUCGAAAGGGGAACAGCCCAGACCAUCAGUUAAGGUCCCUAAAUGUAUGCUAAGUGGAAAAGGAUGUGGAGUUGCAUAGACAACUAGGAUGUUGGCUCAGAAGCAGCCACCAUUUAAAGAGUGCGUAAUAGCUCACUAGUCGAGUGAUUCUGCGCCGAAAAUGUACCGGGGCUAAGCAUACUACCGAAACCAUGGAUGCGACCAUUAGGUCGCGUGAUAGGAGAGCGUUCUAAGGGCGGUGAAGCAAGAUCGUGAGGACUUGUGGAGCGCUUAGAAGUGAGAAUGCCGGUAUGAGUAGCGAAAGAUAGGUGAGAAUCCUAUCCACCGAAUGACUAAGGUUUCCUGGGGAAGGCUCGUCCUCCCAGGGUUAGUCGGGACCUAAGUCGAGGCCGAGAGGCGUAGACGAUGGAUAACAGGUUGAGAUUCCUGUACUAGUUAAGUGCGUUUGAGCAAUGGAGGGACGCAGGAGGCUAAGAUGUGCAUUCUGUUGGAUUAGAAUGUCCAAGCAGUAAGUCUUGUGGAGAGUCAAAUGCUUUUCACUUUAAGGACAAGCUGUGAUGGGGAGCGAAAUUUAGUAGCGAAGCGUCUGAUGUCACACUGCCGAGAAAAGCUUCUAGUGAGUACUUAACUACCCGUACCGCAAACCGACACAGGUAGUCGAGGAGAGAAUCCUAAGGUGAGCGAGUGAACUCUCGUUAAGGAACUCGGCAAAAUGACCCCGUAACUUCGGGAGAAGGGGUGCUGAUCGCAAGAUCAGCCGCAGUGAAUAGGCCCAGGCGACUGUUUAUCAAAAACACAGGUCUCUGCAAAAUCGUAAGAUGACGUAUAGGGGCUGACGCCUGCCCGGUGCUGGAAGGUUAAAAGGAUGGGUUAGCUUCGGCGAAGCUCAGAAUUGAAGCCCCAGUAAACGGCGGCCGUAACUAUAACGGUCCUAAGGUAGCGAAAUUCCUUGUCGGGUAAGUUCCGACCCGCACGAAAGGCGUAACGAUCUGGGCACUGUCUCAACGAGAGACUCGGUGAAAUUAUAUUGUCCGUGAAGAUGCGGACUACCCGCGACAGGACGGAAAGACCCCAUGGAGCUUUACUGUAGCUUGAUAUUGAGUGUUUGUACAGCUUGUACAGGAUAGGUAGGAGCCAUAGAAACCGGAACGCUAGUUUCGGUGGAGGCGUUGGUGGGAUACUACCCUCGCUGUAUGACCACUCUAACCCGCACCACUAAUCGUGGUGGGAGACAGUGUCAGGUGGGCAGUUUGACUGGGGCGGUCGCCUCCUAAAAAGUAACGGAGGCGCCCAAAGGUUCCCUCAGAAUGGUUGGAAAUCAUUCGCAGAGUGUAAAGGCACAAGGGAGCUUGACUGCGAGACAGACAGGUCGAGCAGGGACGAAAGUCGGGCUUAGUGAUCCGGUGGUACCGUAUGGAAGGGCCAUCGCUCAACGGAUAAAAGCUACCCUGGGGAUAACAGGCUUAUCUCCCCCAAGAGUCCACAUCGACGGGGAGGUUUGGCACCUCGAUGUCGGCUCAUCGCAUCCUGGGGCUGUAGUCGGUCCCAAGGGUUGGGCUGUUCGCCCAUUAAAGCGGUACGCGAGCUGGGUUCAGAACGUCGUGAGACAGUUCGGUCCCUAUCCGUCGCGGGCGUAGGAAAUUUGAGAGGACCUGUCCUUAGUACGAGAGGACCGGGAUGGACAUACCUCUGGUGUACCAGUUGUGCCGCCAGGCGCAUCGCUGGGUAGCUACGUAUGGAUGUGAUAAACGCUGAAAGCAUCUAAGUGUGAAACACACCUCGAGAUGAGAUUUCCCAUUCCUUUAUGGAAGUAAGACCCCUGAAAGAUGAUCAGGUAGAUAGGUUAGAAGUGGCAGUGCGGUGACGCAUGAAGCGGACUAAUACUAAUCGGUCGAGGACUUAACCAA